AGACGGAGGGUGCAAGCGUUGUUCGGAAUCACUGGGCGUAAAGCGCGUGUAGGCGGCUUGACAAGUCUGAUGUGAAAGCCCUGGGCUCAACCUGGGAAGUGCAUUGGAAACUGUCAGGCUUGAGUACCGGAGAGGAUGGGGGAAUUCCCGGUGUAGAGGUGAAAUUCGUAGAGAUCGGGAGGAAUACCAGUGGCGAAGGCGCCCAUCUGGACGGUAACUGACGCUGAGACGCGAAAGCGUGGGGAGC
rnacentral:rRNA from 1 species